rnacentral:rRNA from 1 species
GAUGAACGCUGGCGGCGUGCCUAAUACAUGCAAGUCGAACGAAGCGGGGACGGGGGUGUAAAACGUGGAUAACCUCCCCUAUGGCUGGGAUAACUUAGGGAAACCGGAGCUAAUACCGCAACUUAUCGCUGGAUCCACGCUGGAUUUGCUGGUGGGUAAGGUCACCGCUUACCAAGUCAACGAUGCAUAGCCGACCUGAGAGGGUGAUCGGCCACACUGGAACUGAGACACGGUCCAGACUCCUACGGGAGGCAGCAGUAGGGAAUCUUCCGCAAUGGGCGAAAGCCUGACGGAGCAAUGCCGCGUGAGUGAUGAAGGUCUUCGGGUCGUAAAACUCUGUUAUUAGGGAAGCGGUACCUAAUCAGGAAGCAACGGCUAACUACGUGCCAGCAGCCGCGGUAAUAC